AGAGUUUGAUCCUGGCUCAGAUUGAACGCUGGCGGCAUGCCUUACACAUGCAAGUCGAACGGCAGCGCGGGGCAACCUGGCGGCGAGUGGCGAACGGGUGAGUAAUAUAUCGGAACGUACCCUGGAGUGGGGGAUAACGUAGCGAAAGUUACGCUAAUACCGCAUACGAUCUAAGGAUGAAAGUGGGGGAUCGCAAGACCUCAUGCUCCUGGAGCGGCCGAUAUCUGAUUAGCUAGUUGGUAGGGUAAAAGCCUACCAAGGCAUCGAUCAGUAGCUGGUCUGAGAGGACGACCAGCCACACUGGAACUGAGACACGGUCCAGACUCCUACGGGAGGCAGCAGUGGGGAAUUUUGGACAAUGGGCGCAAGCCUGAUCCAGCAAUGCCGCGUGAGUGAAGAAGGCCUUCGGGUUGUAAAGCUCUUUUGUCAGGGAAGAAACGGCCUGUUCUAAUACAGUGGGCUAAUGACGGUACCUGAAGAAUAAGCACCGGCUAACUACGUGCCAGCAGCCGCGGUAAUACGUAGGGUGCAAGCGUUAAUCGGAAUUACUGGGCGUAAAGCGUGCGCAGGCGGUUUUGUAAGUUUGUCGUGAAAUCCCCGGGCUCAACCUGGGAAUGGCGAUGAAGACUGCAAGGCUAGAGUUUGGCAGAGGGGGGUAGAAUUCCACGUGUAGCAGUGAAAUGCGUAGAUAUGUGGAGGAACACCGAUGGCGAAGGCAGCCCCCUGGGUCAAAACUGACGCUCAUGCACGAAAGCGUGGGGAGCAAACAGGAUUAGAUACCCUGGUAGUCCACGCCCUAAACGAUGUCUACUAGUUGUCGGGUCUUAAUUGACUUGGUAACGCAGCUAACGCGUGAAGUAGACCGCCUGGGGAGUACGGUCGCAAGAUUAAAACUCAAAGGAAUUGACGG
rnacentral:rRNA from 1 species